CCCUUUCUGAAAAGUUAGAUCGAGCCCAGGUAUUCAGGGAUGGGGAGGAGAGAGGAUUGCAUUGCUGGAUGUCAUGGCCCUGAAUCCUGCUCCUCACCUGGAUUCCUGAUGGACGGAGCUCCUAGGAAGGACAGUGAGUCUGCAUCCGCUGGGACAGAGGAUUCCUCUGCGACCCUGGGGAUGACCCAAGCCAAAGUCAACACGAAAGGUACAAGGAGUGCACUUGUGCACAGAAGGCUGCUGCCGGGCCUGGGAAGAUACUCAGUGAAUGGCAGUGUUGACACACUGCCCAGGAGGUCAAGCUUGGCUCUCGACAUGGGGAUGGUGCCUUCUGCCCUUGGUUCUACAAGGAUGACUUUUCCUGACAGUCUUCUCUGGCCUCCCAUCUGGCCAACUCCUGUUGGGAUGGUGGUUCUGAAUUGAAGAGCCUGCAAUCCUUGCCUCUUUUCCAGAAUUUCCCUGUGCUCCAGGCCCCUAAAGCCCAUGGCCAAGGGGUGGGGUUUUUCUAUAAGCCCAGACCCGGUAGCUCCAAGGCUCCUGCCAGGCCUGGGCCACAGUAACUCCUGCAGAGUGCCUCCCUCCCCUGCCAGCUACCUUGGGGUGGACACCCAGCGCUGGCAGGAAGGGCAUUCCAUUUGGCUCAACCCAUGAGGAAUCAAUUAGUGCUUGCUUUCUUUUGACUCUCCUAUCUAACACCAGAGCCUGUGACAUCACAGAAUAGCAGCCUUGGGCUUGAGUGAGGUGGGAUCCAUCCCUGGUGACAUGACUCUUGCAAAGUCUGGGUGUGGGAAAUGUGAUGGCCCAUUUUCCUGAUGAUACCUCUUUCUCCUACGCUGAAUCCCUGGGUUCAGGUGGGGCCAACUCCACCCACUGGCUUUAGAAGCAGACAUCUGAUCCGAGCCUGCACACAGGCUCCUGCAACUCCCCCAGCGACUUCUGCAACAAACAUGGGGAAAGAGCUUUCUCUUUCUGUGGGAGUUGCUAAGUCCACAGGAUAUAAGCUUGGAGCUGCUGAUGGCCAAUCUGUUAUCUAUUUGAGGAUGAAGCCAAUAAAGAGGAAGGAGAACUAAGAUGGAUAGAGUGUGCUGUCCAGACUUGCCACUUCCUGCCCAGUAAAUUCCCGAAUCCAACUCUGCCCCUGGACUACCCUGAUUAUAUGAGCCAGUGCUUUUUAAAUUAUUUUCUUUCUUUUAAAACCAGACUGAGGUGCGUUUCUAUCAUAGAAAGGUUUCGAAUACAGUAAGUGUUUUUAUGUGGUCUUUUUUUUUUUUUAAAUCAGCUUUAUUGAGAUGUACUUCUCAUGCAAUCCACCCCUUUUAAGCAUACACAUCCUAAGUUUUAUCAAAUCCACACACCUUUGCAACCACCACAAUCAGAGGUGGAAUAUUUCUUUUUCUUCCCAAAAAAGUUCCAGCUCUCCCUUGAUGGUCCGUCCCUUCAGCCUCAGACAACCACUGAUCUGCUUUCUAGAGAUUGCUUUUGCCUCUUCUAGAAUUUCCUGUAAAGAUGAUCACAUGGUGAGCACUCUGUGUUUGGUUUCUUUUUCUCAGCAUGUUUUCGAGACUCAUCCUUGUUACAUGCAUCAGUAGACCAUUCCUUUUGUUGCUGGGGAAGAUUGCAUCGUGUGGAUGUGCAUCCGUUUGUUCAGCCACUUACCAGAUGAUGCAUAUUUGAGCUGUUUCUAGAUUUUGGCUGUUAUAAAUAAAGUUGUUUCGGAC
ensembl:lncRNA